rnacentral:lncRNA from 1 species
CAGGGCAUAUUUGAUCUUCACUAAGACUCUACCUUUUUAUUGAUUUUUUUUUUUUUUUUUGUCAUAGCCUUUGUAAUUUACAACCACCCAAUCCAUGGAGUUUUAUUUAUUUUACCUUUUUGGUCAAGAGAGCAUUUCACCUUUGCACUUUGAAUGGACCAUGUGACAAAAAAAACACACACACACACACACACAUUCGG